rnacentral:rRNA from 1 species
GAUGAACGCUAGCGGCAGGCCUAACACAUGCAAGUCGAGGGGCAGCACAGAAACAGCAAUGUUUUGGUGGCGACCGGCGGACGGGUGCGUAACGCGUAUGCAACCUACCUUUAACAGGGGGAUAACGGAGAGAAAUUUCCACUAAUACCCCAUAACAUCGAUCAAGGCAUCUUGAUUGGUUGAAAACUCCGGUGGUUAAAGAUGGGCAUGCGUUGUAUUAGGUAGUUGGUGAGGUAAUGGCUCACCAAGCCUACGAUACAUAGGGGGACUGAGAGGUUAGCCCCCCACACUGGUACUGAGACACGGACCAGACUCCUACGGGAGGCAGCAGUGAGGAACAUUGGUCAAUGGGGCAACCCUGAACCAGCCAUGCCGCGUGCAGGAAGACGGCUCUAUGAGUUGUAAACUGCUUUUAAACAGGGAUAAAGCACAGUAUGUAUACUGUGUUGAAGGUACUGUAAGAAUAAGGAUCGGCUAACUCCGUGCCAGCAGCCGCCGCGG